rnacentral:lncRNA from 1 species
UUUUAGUGACAAUUAUCUCAUAGAUUAACGGUGAUUUUAUCUACUCCCUUUAUCGGCAAUUGUAAUAAUUGCCACUAUAAAUCGGGUCAGUAAAAGUUUAACAGUAAUUAUAUUGGCGGCCGGUAAAGAGCAAAACAAUUGCCACUAAAGAUUACUCUAUACUGACAAUUAAAGAGGCCACUAAAAGCAAAAUACAUUUGCUCAUAAAAUAUCUAACAUUAAUCACAAAUACCAACAAAUGCCAACAAAGAUAAAAUAAAUAAUCACUAAUUAUAAAAAAUAUUAAAUUAUCAUUAAAAUCAUAUAUUCAAUUAAUCACUAUAAAAAUUUCGAAAGAUAAUGCAUUGACAAUGAAAAUUAAAAACCCAACAUUUCAUGAAUAUCAAAUAAGCUGACUAUAAAAAUCUAUUACAUUCUCAAAAGUGUUGUGAGUACAAAUAAAUGUCACAAUCAAUUUUUAUCACAAAAUAAAUAUCAAUUAAAUAUUAGA